rnacentral:rRNA from 1 species
UACGUAGGGUGCGAGCGUUGUCCAGAUUUAUUGGGCGUAAAGAGCUCGUAGGCGGCUUGUCGCGUCGUCCGUGAAAACCUGCAGCUCAACUGCAGGCUUGCGGUCGAUACGGGCAGGCUGGAGUUCGGUAGGGGAGACUGGAAUUCCUGGUGUAGCGGUGAAAUGCGCAGAUAUCAGGAGGAACACCGAUGGCGAAGGCAGGUCUCUGGGCUAUAACUGACGCUGAGAAGCGAAAGCAUGGGGAGCGAACAGG